rnacentral:rRNA from 1 species
CAGUAGCCGCGGUAAUACGUAGGUGGCAAGCGUUGUCCGGAAUUAUUGGGCGUAAAGGGCUCGCAGGCGGUUUCUUAAGUCUGAUGUGAAAGCCCCCGGCUCAACCGGGGAGGGUCAUUGGAAACUGGGAAACUUGAGUGCAGAAGAGGAGAGUGGAAUUCCACGUGUAGCGGUGAAAUGCGUAGAGAUGUGGAGGAACACCAGUGGCGAAGGCGACUCCCUGGUCUGUAACUGACGCUGAGGAGCGAAAGCGUGGGGAGCGAACAGGAUUAGAUACCCGAGUAGUCCCUGUCUCUUAUAA